GUAAAGGGAAAGGAAAAUGAAGAAUUCAUGACCUGACUAGAGUCUCAGUAGAAGGAAGAUAUUUUAGAACUGUGAGAAUUUUCAUUUAUAGUCCACUCAGCCACACAACAUGUUGUAGGAGAAAACUUACCCAUGAUACGUGAUGUUGGAGUUUUCACUAAUUUCUUCGGAGAACCGGACUAUAUACAUAUACACCGAUGGACCCAGAUUUCAGAGGGUGCAGCGCAUUGUAGUUGACCCAGCUAUAUACCUAGCCGGGAGGAGCCAAAUUUUUCAUGCUACAGAAAAGCGGAAAACUUAUGAUGCUUUUAAAGUUUUCUCAGGCA